UCUAAUUUAACAGUAGUACGUUAUUUUUUCAAUUUUUUGUGUUGUUGGCUU
rnacentral:tRNA from 1 species